CUUCAAAAACUAUAACCUACUGCAGGACAGGUGAGGCCAGGGAGGCGGACACCUCUGCCUCCAGGAGGCUACUCUGUGCCUCAAGAACCAAAGAACGAGGGGAGUUCGACCACUGCCUGUACAGAGCCCGAAUGCCCUCCCUGCUGCUGUUCUAAUGCAUGUCCCAUCUGCAAUGUUAGAAAACAAGCUUCAGCUUGAUACAGUGGAACUUGGCAGAUGGCACAGUUUGCUUGUUACAGAACUAAGUAUGAAAAUAAAUUCAUUUAGUAGUGCUCCUUGGAGAAAUGUGGUUCAGAAGUCAAAUAAUUUUAAAAGACCUCUUUCCCAUGUAAGACACCCAUGAAACAAUGCUCUGGUCAUAAUUAGUCUCUAACCUUUCAAAAUGCCUGCUUCAGUGACCUCACCUGCUAUUGAACACGAUGCCUGCAGAUGGUGUGAGGUGGCCAAAGGGUGGAGGACUGGCAGCGGGGGCUGCAGCGGCUGCUGUGACCAGCCACUCACUUGCUGAAGGAUCAGGGAGAGACACUGUGUCUCUCUGGGUCUCGGCUUCUUAACCUGUGAAACCCAGGGGUUGGGGAAAAGCUCGCCAAGCCCCCCUCCUGCUUUGGCAUCCUGUGAGUCUUUAUUGUCCUGGGCUAGCUGGGACCCCUAGGACACUGGGUGGCUCCUUCCACCCCACAUGAUCAUUCUGCUCAACAAGAACUUGCAGGAGCCACAGACCUGCCUCACAAACAUGAGGAAGCGCAUCCUUCUACAAAGCGAGAGGCUUGAGGUCAGUAUGCCAAUAGCAAGAAGACUUGUUCUUGAAAGGUUGAGUUUUUCAAAUGAGUCCUGAAAGAAUUCUACCACACUGCCUAUUUCCCAAGCAGGGAUCAUGGGAGAAAGGAAAUUUUGAAGAAAAUGGUUCUAAUGCCAUUUUGUUAAAAGUACUGAGAGAUUUACAAUGAUCAAGUAAUAUGCCAGUUCUUUCAAAGGAUGCCAACAUCUGAUGCCAACAUAAUUACAAGUUGGAAAAAUGUGUAAUGAAUCAGGCGGCUCAUAAUUUCCCUUAGAAUAUGUAUGCACAACUUAUUAAAUGACAUAAAAAGCAAAGAGUCACGG
rnacentral:lncRNA from 1 species